UGGGAAAGGUUGAGGCACGGCCAUUCGU
rnacentral:piRNA from 1 species